CAAGUUGUGGCGAGUGGAUGCCUGGACGCUGCGGACGUCCCUGAAGAUCUCGGGAAGCGACGCGCUCGCGUUCAGCCCACGCGACGAUCUGC
rnacentral:tRNA from 1 species